CCUACGGGCGGCAGCAGUGGGGGAUAUUGCACAAUGGGGGGAACUCUGAUGCAGCGACGCCGCGUGGGUGAAGAAGCGCCUCGGCGCGUAAAGCCCUGUCAGCAGGGAAGAAAAUGACGGUACCUGAAGAAGAAGCCCCGGCUAACUACGUGCCAGCAGCCGCGGUAAGACGUAGGGGGCAAGCGUUAUCCGGAUUUACUGGGUGUAAAGGGGGCGCAGACGGCGAUGCAAGCCAGGAGUGAAAGCCUGGGGCCCAACCCCGGGACUGCUAUUGGAACUGCGUGGCUGGAGUGCAGGAGGGGCAGGCGGAAUGCCUGGUGUAGCGGUGAAAUGCGUAGAUAUCAGGAGGAACACCGGUGGCGAAGGCGGCCUGCUGGACUGCAACUGACGUUGAGGCCCGAAAGCGUGGGGAGCAAACAGGAUUAGAUACCCCAGUAGUC
rnacentral:rRNA from 1 species